GACGUCGCCGCUGCGGAUUGGCGGAGCGCGGUUACAGGGGAAAGGAGGAGCCGUAGGUGCUGUAGGCAGGCGCUGCGGCAGAAAUGUACUGGUUGUAUUAGGAAGCCUGUAGAAGCUGCGUCAAGGGUAAUCUACAUUGCGAGAGAGGCUUCGGGUAGUACGGGGCCAGUGGCGCAAUGGAUAACGCGUCUGACUACGGAUCAGAAGAUUCUAGGUUCGACUCCUGGCUGGCUCGUUACGUACACUCUUUUGCCCUACGUGGGGUAGAUGUUCCACAGCUUUCUUAGGAAGUACUGUUAAGGAAAGUAACGAAAGUGUGAAGGUGUCUGGCUCAAAGACCUGGGGAGGCCCGAAAAGUCUGCAGCUGAGAGGGGACUUGAAUCCGGGGAGUGGCUGAGACCUCGAACACUGUCCAUUAACCACUCAAUCGAUCGGUUCAUCUGUCCAAUAUAACGUGUUUUCCUCCUGAGGGAAUCACAGAAAAUUUGUAAACUAUAGAAAAUUACUCGGAAUAAAAAUAAUGCCAGUUCUCCUCUCGA